AUACUCUGGUGAGUAUAUGUUAUCAACCUUGUCCUUGUAAGAAGAAAAUAUGUAUUUUAGAACUAUAUAUAAUACCAUGUAGAACCAUACACAAGGCCGUAUCCACCUGCAUAUAAAGAAUAUAUAGAAUACACACAUAACUGUGCAUAAUGAAGAAGGUAGGGCAAGGUUGGGGUCCACUGUGACAGAGCGAAUUUCUUCCACUAAAUAACAGGAAACUAUCCGUUGUAUUUAUUAUUGAACCAGGUAGGGUGUCCCCUGCCCCAACCCCAUUGGACCCAGGGCCUCACAUGCUAGGAAAUCACUGAGCUCCAUCUCUGGCCUUUUUUCAUCUUUUAUUUUGAGACAGGGUCUUGCUAAGUUACAUAGGGCCUCAUUAAGUCACUGAGGCUGGCCUCAAACUUGCCAUCCUCCUGCCUCAGCCUCCCCAGUGACUGGGAUUAUAGGCCUGCAUACCAUGCCUGGCUUCAUCAUUUUAAGUUGCAUUUCCCUCAUGACUAAUGAUGCUGUUCAGAUUUUCAUGUCUUUAUUAACCAUCCACAUAUCUUCUUUGAUAAAAUGUUUAUAAAAAUGUUUGGCCCAUUUCUACUGGGUUGUGUGUCUUUAUAUUGAGUUGUAAAAGUUCCUCCUACAUUCUGGAUACAAGUCCUUUGCCAGACAUAUAUAUUGUAUCUAACGUUUUAAAUUAUUCUUGGUGUCUUACGCAGCUCAUGCUUGUUUUAUUCAAUAAAAUAUUCCACAGAGUCAGGUAUGGUGGUUCAUGUGAUGGUUCCCAGUGACUUGCAAGGCUGAGACAAGAGGAUACCAAGUUCGAGGUCAACCUCAGCAACUUAGCGAGACCAUGCCUCAAAACAAAAAGUAAAAAAGGACUGGGGAUGUAGCUCUGUGGUGGAGCACCCCUGGGUUCAAUCCUCAGUAUUGUAAAGAUGAAUAAAUAAAACACCCCAAAGAGGGACAAUUCAGUGUAGAGGUGCUAUGUGCCCUGGUGGUUGGGUAUCUCAGAAACUGGAACAGAACAAAACAGCAGUGAUACAAACUCUGAGAUCAUCACUCCUGCCUGGUGUUAAAAGCUUCUGAAUCCUGGGCUAGGCAGGUCAAGGGCCCAAGAAGGUAACAGCCUCUGGCUUUUCUCCAGAAGGGGCGCUGGCCUGUGGAGACCUGCACGGAUCUGGAGCGACAGUCCCAUGUUGCCCCAGGCUGGCUGCUGCCACAAAGGCCCCCAGGCAUGGGGCCUCAGCUGCCCUCUCUCCUAGAUGUGAGCAGAGACAGGAACAGUGCUCACCUCAGGGGAAUCAGAUAUGGUUCUCAGAAUCUCUAGAGGUUUGGAGCAGACAGUACUUCUCUGCAAGGCCCUGGGAUCGAUCCUCAGCACCACAUUAAAAUAAGUAAGUAAAAUAAAGGUAUUUUGUCCAAUGACAACUAAAAAAUAUUUUUAAAAAAAUUUUUGGUGCUCGGCAUUGAACCAGCGCCUGGCCAUGGUAAAUGCCCCCUUCCACAGAGCUACACCUGCAGUCCCACAAAAUAUUCUUGACAAUGUGUGAGGCACGAUGUUGCCUGGUUAGUGCAUCCACAACAGGUCCACAGAGUCAAUGUCUUCAAAACAGAGGAAGGUCAGUGGUAUUUGGAGACAUCCAGUGGGAGCCACCAGGCUGCUUACCCGGCAGGCUAUAGGAAAGCCCCAAGGGACUCGGCUAGACUCGUGACUGUCAUCCCCACCCAAGCUGAGGAGCCCAGGGGACUCUGUCCACAGUGGCCCUGGAGGUCCAUGGACCCCUGGCUGAGACAGACACAAAGGAAAAGGAAGGCACCAAGAGCCAGCAGCCGAGGGUCUCCACAGCCGGCGGGAGUGUCCACUCCACAGGGCGCCCAGCCUCAAGCUCUUUCCAAACAGCCUGACAGCUGUAGGCCUGGCCCUCAGCUUCCCCAAAGUCACCUGGAAAAGGGACACCUGGGCAGGCCCAUGGGUCUCAGAGCCACUUGCACAACACAGGCAGCCAGUCAGCAGCAGCCAGCGCCCCUCACCCCCUGGCCUUCUGCAGCGCCCCUGUGAGGACACCAGCAGAAUCCAGGACAGACCCAGUUCCCCAGGUAUUGGGGGAGGAGGUCUCCUCUCCUCUGAAGGGCAGUUCCACACUUGUCUCUCUCCACAAAAGCUGACCUGCAGGUUGGCCUAGAGCCACAGACUGGAAGGGCAGCCUGCUCCAAUAGCAGUGACAGCCAUGGAGACUCUGUCUGAACUGUCCCCAUUUCCCUGACUCUGGGGCUCUGGAGGACUAACCUCCCUCUUGGCAGGUGGUGCGACAGGCCAUCCACUUUCAGCCCCUCCUCUGGGGUUUUACAGCCGUGUGUGGGUUGGGAGAGGCCACCAGUGUUUAAGGACCCUGUCCCUUCCUAUCCUGCAGAAACUGAGGGGAUCACCUGUGCACCACCGUAAUUGCGAUGAGUCGCCUGGCCUGCUCUCUUCUCUGGGAGGGGAGAGGAGGGGGCUCAUCUGGCUGGGCACCUGCCCACCUGUUUGUGUUGUUGGCUUUACAACUACAGGGAAGGGCAAAAGGUGAGGAUUUAUUGCACGUCCCCUUUAGCCACUGUUGGGAAUGACAGGGGGACCUGGUCCACACCCACAGGGAGAGCCUCAGUGUCAGGAGGAACAGGAGAGCCUUGCAAGGGAGAUGGCCUGAGGUGAAGGCCCAGGAGGUGAUAAGAAGUUGGAAGAGAGCCAAGAUUGGGUUCCUGCCUGUCACUCUUAGUGGGGAGCCUCUUGGAAGCCCUUAGUCAAUUCAUCUCUGGAUCUGCGGGUCCUCAACACAGUGCCUGACACAUUUGAGCAAUGGGGUAAAAAAGACAAAGGGAGGGGCUGGGGCUGGGGCUCAGUGGUAGAGCCUCGCCCAGCACUUGCGAGGCCCUGGGUUCCAUCCUCAGCACCACAUAACAAUAAAUAAAUAAAUAAAACAAAGGUAUUGUGUCCAACUACAACUAAAACCAAAAAAAAAAAAAAAAGAGGGAGGAAGGAAUUAAUGAAUAAUUAUGGUGAAAUUUACAUUGCCCUUGACCUUGCCUCUCUGUUCACAGGGACUGGACGGUAGCCCAGUGGUGGAGUGCAUGCUGAGCUAUGCAGAGGGCCUACAAUCCCCAGUCCCAAAACAAAAAUACCAUAUGUUUACAUGAAUGGACACUCAUGAAAAAAAAUAAAUAAAAAACCUUCUUGCCUGUAAUAGAAGAGUUUAGCUACCCACAGGUAUUCUGAUAGUGGGUGUAUUUGAAAUUACUUAUUUAAAAAAUAUUUAUUUUUUAGUUGUAGGUGGACACAAUACCUUUAUAUUUAUUAUUUAUUUAUUUAUUUUUAAAGAGAGAGAGAGAGAAAGAAUUUUAAUAUUUAUUUUUUAGUUUUCGGCGGACACAACACCUUUGUUUGUAUGUGGUGCUGAGGAUCAAACCCGGGCCGCACGCAUGCCAGGCGAGCGCGCUACCGCUUGAGCCACAUCCCAGCCCCUUAUUUAUUUUUUAAAAACACAUUUUUUUGUCUUUAUUUUAUUUAUUUGUUUUUACGUGGAUCGAACCCAGCACCUUGAACGUGCUAGGCGAGCACUCUACCUCUGAGCCACAACCCCAGCCCUGAAAUUACUUUGUCAUUGUGCUUUAUACAUUUUUCUGAGCUUACACUGCAGUUCCCUGGUUUUUCUUUACCUCUCAUUUGCUAUAUCGAGCAAGCAUUUUCCCCCUUUCCCAAGUAAGUUUAAUGUUAUUCCACUACUUGUCACCUUAAAUUAAAAAACAAAAAUUUGUGGCAAGGUUAGAGCUCAGAAGUAGAGCACUUGUCUAGCAUGCAUGAGGCUCUGGGUUCAAUCCCUAGCACCACCAAGUUUAUUUGUUUGUUCAGUCCUGGGGAUUGAACCCAGGGACACUCAACCACUGAGCCACAACCCCAGCCCUUUUUAUUUUGAGACAGCCUCUCAUUAAGUUGCUUAGGGCCUUGCUAAGUUGCUGAACCUGGCUUCCAACUUUCAAUCCUCCUGCCUCAGCCUCCUCAGUCCCUAGGAUUAAAGAUGUGUACCAUCACAUCUGGCUACCAAAAAAUUUUUGAACCUGUAUUUUCCUAAAUUAACAAAGUCAAGAACAAAAGUUUCUUACUUCCUCCCCACGUGAAAAUUGAGAGAUCUAGCACAUUCUUCCCCUCUUCCUGUUUAUGCCCAGAAAUUGUUCAUUCAUUCAAUGAAAUGAUGAAUACACACUAUCCUACCUACACUCUUGAUUACUAAUGCUAACAACAGUAAAAGCUCCUAUUUAGUGAAAAUUUACUAUGUGCGGUACAGGGCUUAUCUUUACAUACACGGCCUCAUUUAAUUUUUCUAGAAAUCCUACCCUGGGGUUUUGCCAUAUUUACCCUUCCCACUCAAAUGCCAAGUGACCUCACCUUAGAAGGACUUGAUCUCUUUAGGUGGAGCCGGAUCUGCCUUUUCAAAAAUCAGAUGGCCUGGCAUGUGCCCAGGUCGGAGUGUCCCACUGGGGCCGACUCGGCGCACACCAACUUUACAAAUGAGUCAGUGUGAUGCGACACUUGCUCAGCGCCCCUCCAGGCCUGUUGCGUCUCCCGCUACCACCCACCCCACGGAGCAGAGGGGGAAGGUGAGGAAGGAGGAGAAAAGCCUCCUCCUGUUGAGGACUUCGGCCCAGGGAUUGCAGGAGGCCGAGGGGUCUCCUAGGGGUCUCUAGGAGACCCGCCUGAGAGCCAAGGAUGAAAGAGCCAGGAGUUCAAACCCCAGAGUGCCCCUAGUGGUGGAAGUGAGGGGUGACAGGGUACCUGGGCAACGGGGAACUGGACUGGCAAAGUUGAAGGGGGCUUUAAAGGGCCCCAGCUGCAACCGACCCUCCGUUCCUCUGCCCGCUUUCUUUUUUAGCUCAGGGCCUCCUCUGGCACCGAGCAACAUCCCCAGUCCGUUUCUUAAAAUUUAUUUGUUUGUUUGUUUUUGAGACAGGAUGCCUAUUUAUUUUUUUGCCCAGGAUGGCCUCGAACUUGCGACCGUCCUGCCUCAUCAUCCUCCGGUAGCUGUAUUACCGUUGUGCACCACCGUACCCGGCAAACCCCCAUUUAAUGUCUGGGAAACAUCUCGCCUUGAAGGCGACGCUCUCAACGUGACAGAUGGUGACUUGAAGAGAGAGGGACACCGAGGAGAAAGGUCGUUGUUGAUAGAAAUAAGUGGGGUCAGGGCAGGAAUGAGUAUUUACCUGCCCCAGCACGGUUCUCCAGAGCUCGGUUCUCGGAGCAAACCUUGCGUCGCCCCCGCGAGUCCAGCUCCCUGGGACAGGCGCCCGUCCGCGGGGGCGCCCUCUGCCGGACCCCGCCGUUUGGUCAGGGAUCAUCUUGGGAAACGCUCCGCAGAACUUCCUGCAUCCAUAGCACCCCACGCAUUUGCUCACAGAUCUUCAUGCAUUCAGCAAGUGUUUAUGGAAGACAGCCUGUGCCAGGUGCCGUGCUUCCUGAUGGCGAUUCAAGGACACACCGGGCUCCGAUUCUUGGGUUCAGAGGGAGACAUAAUAAAACCUUCACACAAACCGUGUUCACUGGCCAGGAUGAAUAACUGGGUGAUUACGGGGGCCAAGAAGGUCAGGGAUGGUUUCCUGUAGGAAGUGGCAUUGCUCCUAACAUCGAAGUUUGGAAUUGAAUGAUGUCAGGCAGGCAGCCUGGUGUGAAAAGUGUGGAGCUUCUGAGAAGCCUAGGGCCACUAGGUCACUGACCUGGCUUGUGGCCAAGUGGCAACAGUUUACCACGGCAUGAGAAGCAGGAUCCUUCUUUGAAGUGUUAUCAACGACUGUUAGCUGGAGCCCGUUUUAAAUGGAAACUUGGAAAAUUCCAUCAUCUUUGGGACACUUUACACUGUCUGUGUUACUCUCCAAGGUUAAAGUCAUGUGU
rnacentral:lncRNA from 1 species